rnacentral:snRNA from 1 species
GGAUGUGAGGGCAACCUGGCUGCAACAUCUGUCACCCCAUUGAUCGCCAGGGUUGAUUUGGCUGAUCUGGCUGGCUAGGCGGGUGUCCCCUUCCUCCCUCACGGCUCCACGUGUGUCCCUCCCAGAGGACAACCUUUCCCGAAUAGAGGAGGACCGGUCAAGGUACACGAGUAGCUGCACUUCCCCGGCUAGAACCUUGAAACAAGCUCUCAAAAACUGUACUUUCUGAAAACAAAACUAACUCUUUCAAACUUCUGCGAACACAAAAUACUGAUAAAAGCUCUCGUUU